rnacentral:rRNA from 1 species
UACGAAGGGGGCUAGCGUUGCUCGGAUUGACUGGGCGUAAAGGGCGCGUAGGCGGUUCGUACAGUCAGACGUGAAAUUCCUGGGCUCAACCUGGGGGCUGCGUUUGAUACGUGCGGACUUGAGUGCGGAAGAGGGUCGUGGAAUUCCCAGUGUAGAGGUGAAAUUCGUAGAUAUUGGGAAGAACACCGGUGGCGAAGGCGGCGACCUGGUCCGAUACUGACGCUGAGGCGCGAUAGCGUGGGGAGCAAACAGG